GGUAAUGCCGGAUGCUCCGGUUGGAUGCAUGUCCUUCCGGGAAAGAUCCGUCGGUAUGGGAUGGGGUCGCGUCCUAUCAGCUUGAUGGCGGGGUAACGGCCCACCAUGGCUUCGACGGGUAGCCGGCCUGAGAGGGCGACCGGCCACAUUGGGACUGAGAUACGGCCCAGACUCCUACGGGAGGCAGCAGUGGGGAAUAUUGCACAAUGGGCGCAAGCCUGAUGCAGCGACGCCGCGUGCGGGAUGGAGGCCUUCGGGUUGUAAACCGCUUUUGAUCGGGAGCAAGCCCUUCGGGGUGAGUGUACCUUUCGAAUAAGCACCGGCUAACUACGUGCCAGCAGCCGCGGUAAUACGUAGGGUGCAAGCGUUAUCCGGAAUUAUUGGGCGUAAAGGGCUCGUAGGCGGUUCGUCGCGUCCGGUGUGAAAGCCCAUCGCUUAACGGUGGGUCUGCGCCGGGUACGGGCGGGCUGGAGUGCGGUAGGGGAGACUGGAAUUCCCGGUGUAACGGUGGAAUGUGUAGAUAU
rnacentral:rRNA from 1 species